GUAGUUAGCCGCCCCUUAUUCCUGAGGUACCGUCAGAACUUCUUCCCUCAGAAAAGCAGUUUACGCCCCGAAAGGUGUCAUCCUGCACGCGGGAUUGCUCCAUCAGGCUUUCGCCCAUUGUGGAAAAUUCCUC
rnacentral:rRNA from 1 species